UACGUAGGGUGCGAGCGUUGUCCGGAAUUAUUGGGCGUAAAGGGCUCGUAGGCGGUUUGUCGCGUCGGGGAGUGAAAACCUACAGCUUAACUGUGGGCUUGCUUUCGAUACGGGCAGACUAGAGGUAUGCAGGGGAGAACGGAAUUCCUGGUGUAGCAGUGAAAUGCGCAGAUAUCAGGAGGAACACCGGUGGCGAAGGCGGUUCUCUGGGCAUGAUCUGACGCUGAGGAGCGAAAGUGUGGGGAGCGAACAGG
rnacentral:rRNA from 1 species